rfam:Prevotella bergensis DSM 17361 genomic scaffold SCAFFOLD3, whole genome shotgun sequence.
GGGGCACGCUUAGAGCCCCUCGCACCUUGUGUUAAUAGUGAUGCCUUUGGCCGGGCAUCACGGUUAGUGAAUC